rnacentral:lncRNA from 1 species
GGCGCUACGAUGAGGACAGGGGUCCCAUGGCAGGGGGGUGGGGGCACCAUUACCAGUGUUUUAAUGGCGCCACCAGAGUUUCAAGUGUCACUUUAUUUCCCUCAUUUCACUGUGUCCUGAUAGUUCUGGCAGGGGGGGGCGGAGGGAGCCCAGCUGGUCUUGCGCCGAGUGAGCAAAGAAGAGAAUUCAUAUCACUGAAAAUGUGGCCGAUAUUUCUUCUCCCCCCCUUUCCAUAACUCAGGAACCGCAGGAGAGGGUUUUUGCCCAGCUUGGGAAACUUCAGCUGGAGCAGAGAAAUGUUCUGCAAGUGAGAACACGGGGAAGGGAGGGUGAUGGCUAGUCGUGUAUUAUUUCAGGUUUAUGUUUAUGGCCCCAGUUAGGAUCUGGGUGCUGUGUAAACACGUAAAUGACAUGGUCCUUGCCCCAGGGAGCUUACAGUCUAAUAGGAUGUCAUACAAAACGUAAUGGAUAGGCAAUACGUAAGAUAUACACAGAACUUGGUUAGUUGUUAAUUAUCCCAGCUCCAUUCUUCUGUUCAGGUGCUUCACUCAACUCGCUUUAGCAAGUUUAGUCACAGUCCCCUACUUCCACUCUGCCCAUCAUAUUCUAUUUGAAUUCCACCACUUUGGGGUCAUUGCAAUGCCUUUUGCAACACUUUUCUUGAACCUCCCUCCCAGGGUCCUUUCCUUGCCUGAUUAGAAUGCAAGGCCCCCCAGCCAUGUUUUCCCAGUUCAAUCCAGCCAGUCGUGGCUCUGAAGGCUUGUUCCCUUCCUGGUCCAUUGCCGAUGCCUCUGUGGAACAUAGGAAUUGCCAGACUGCAUCAGGCUGCUGGUCCAUCUAGCUCAGUAUCUUGUCUCUUAAAGUGGCCAACAGCAGAUGCUACAGAGGAAGGUUAGUCCCAGAGGAAGCAGAUAUGGGUUAAUCUGCUCCUUGUGAAGGUCUUAUCCAAAUCACUAAUAGUUAGAGAUUAGUUUAAGUCCUGAAGAAGGAGAUUUAAUGUACCUUCCAAAAUGCUUGUUAACGAGAAUAUCCAGGGUUAUAAUAUUGAAUACUAGCCAAUAAACAUCCAGGCUUUUUUGAACCUUGUGAAGUU